rnacentral:sRNA from 1 species
UACCAUCCGCGGGAUUAUGCCUGAACGCU